AGUCCUGAAGACAAAAAAGGAAUGAAGAAUUAAAAGGCAUCCCGAGUUCACUACACAGAAACGGAGGGAAAGAGAGGCAGCAACUAUAAGAAGCAAGAAGCGUCCUGGAGCUAGCAAUUCCGAAAGGCAGGACAGGCUUGCUCAGGAUCCUGUCCCCACCUCUGGAGGCUGAAAUUACAGUGGUUUACGCCAUCUGUGUGCCUGGCACCCAUGAAGGCUAGAAGAGGGUAUUGGAUCCCUUCAACCUGGAGUUAUAAAUGGCUAUGAGCUGACAUGCGGAUGCUGAGACUAGAACCCCACUCUUCUGGAUGAGCCGUCAGUGUUUUUAACCACUGAGCCAUCUCUUCAGCCCUGAUGUUCAAGGUCUUCAAAAUAAAGUGUUUCCUAGU